rnacentral:rRNA from 1 species
GUUUGAUCCUGGCUCAGGAUGAACGCUAGCGGCAGGCUUAACACAUGCAAGUCGAGGGGUAUGGUUCUUCGGAACCAGAGACCGGCGCACGGGUGCGUAACGCGUAUGCAAUCUACCUUUCACAGAGGGAUAGCCCAGAGAAAUUUGGAUUAAUACCUCAUAGUAUAACGACCUGGCAUCAGGAUGUUAUUAAAGUCACAACGGUGAAAGAUGAGCAUGCGUCCCAUUAGCUAGUUGGUAAGGUAACGGCUUACCAAGGCUACGAUGGGUAGGGGUCCUGAGAGGGAGAUCCCCCACACUGGUACUGAGACACGGACCAGACUCCUACGGGAGGCAGCAGUGAGGAAUAUUGGACAAUGGGCGCAAGCCUGAUCCAGCCAUGCCGCGUGCAGGAUGACGGUCCUAUGGAUUGUAAACUGCUUUUAUACGAGAAGAAACACUCCUUCGUGAAGGAGCUUGACGGUAUCGUAAGAAUAAGGAUCGGCUAACUCCGUGCCAGCAGCCGCGGUAAUACGGAGGAUCCAAGCGUUAUCCGGAAUCAUUGGGUUUAAAGGGUCCGUAGGCGGUUUAAUAAGUCAGUGGUGAAAGCCCAUCGCUCAACGGUGGAACGGCCAUUGAUACUGUUAGACUUGAAUUAUUAGGAAGUAACUAGAAUAUGUAGUGUAGCGGUGAAAUGCUUAGAGAUUACAUGGAAUACCAAUUGCGAAGGCAGGUUACUACUAAUGGAUUGACGCUGAUGGACGAAAGCGUGGGUAGCGAACAGGAUUAGAUACCCUGGUAGUCCACGCCGUAAACGAUGGAUACUAGCUGUUGGGAGCAAUCUCAGUGGCUAAGCGAAAGUGAUAAGUAUCCCACCUGGGGAGUACGUUCGCAAGAAUGAAACUCAAAGGAAUUGACG